AUAUCAAUAAGCGGAGGAAAAGAAACUAACAAGGAUUCCCCUAGUAACGGCGAGUGAAGAGGGAAGAGCUCAAAUUUGAAAUCUGGCGUGCUCAGUGCGUCCGAGUUGUAAUCUACAGAGUCGUUUUCCGUGCCGGACCGUGUCCAAGUUCCUUGGAACAGGAUAUCAAAGAGGGUGACAAUCCCGUACUUGACACGACCACCGGUGCCUGUGAUACGUCCUCUACGAGUCGAGUUGUUUGGGAAUGCAGCUCAAAAUGGGUGGUAUAUUUCAUCUAAAGCUAAAUACCGGCCAGAGACCGAUAGCGCACAAGUA
rnacentral:rRNA from 1 species